rnacentral:rRNA from 1 species
AUUGAACGCUGGCGGAAUGCUUUACACAUGCAAGUCGAACGGCAGCACGGACUUCGGUCUGGUGGCGAGUGGCGAACGGGUGAGUAAUGUAUCGGAACGUGCCCAGUCGUGGGGGAUAACGUAGUGAAAAUUACGCUAAUACCGCAUACGAUCUAUGGAUGAAAGCGGGGGAUCGCAAGACCUCGCGCGAUUGGAGCGGCCGAUAUCAGAUUAGGUAGUUGGUGGGGUAAAGGCCCACCAAGCCAACGAUCUGUAGCUGGUCUGAGAGGACGAACAGCCACACGGGAACUGAGACACGGUCCAGACUCCUACGGGAGGAAGCAGUGGGGAAUUUUGGACAAUGGGCGAAAGCCUGAUCCAGCCAUUCCGCGUGCAGGAUGAAGGCCCUCGGGUUGUAAACUGCUUUUGUACAGAACGAAAAGGUUUCUACUAAUACUAGGAGCUCAUGACGGUACUGUAAGAAUAAGCAUCGGCUAACUACGUGCCAGCAGCCGCCGUAA